GAUUCUCCUCCGAUCACCGAAAUUAAGCAGCAUUGAGCCUGGUCAGUAUUCAGAUGGGUAACCUCUAGGGAAUACCAGAUGCUGUAAG